UUCCCCGCGCUGAUACCCACUGACCCCCUCCUGGACACAGAGCCCUGACCACUAACUCCACGAGGAAUACUAACCCCGUUUGGCCAAGAUUGCAACUUUGUUGUUCCGCUGCGUGCGUUUUAGUCUACUAAACAGAGCUAUGCUACUUGAGCACGGGUCCUAAACUAAACCAGAACCGCACUUCUCUUUCCACACAGAUGCCAACACGGCUGAUUUACCGGCCGGCGUGCUCUACCGAGUGAAGGCCACCUACGGCUACGUGAAGGAGGAUGUGGACGAGCUGAGCUUCGAAAUUGGGGACACCAUUCGCGUGAUCGAGUACGAUGAUCCCGAGGAUCAGGAGGAGGGCUGGCUAAUGGGUCAGAAGGAGGGCACCAGCGAGAAGGGCCUCUUCCCCGCCAACUUCACGCGCCCCAUCUGAGCGGAGGUGGACGACCGGAGCCGGAGCUGAGAACCAAUCCACCAAACAGCCACACAAACUGCAGUCCCCACGCCAUCACACCCCACCCAACAUUUUGUUAAACCAUAAAUGUCUACAAAACGGAAAUCCCAAUCCAAACAAUUGGCCAAACUUUCAUUAUUAAAAUUGUCUUGUUCUGUGAAACGCAUUCUUUCGAUUAGCAAUCCGUCGAUUGUUAGAGCAGUGCUUCCAGUUAUUAUUAAUUAUUAUUGUUGAACGCCAUGGCAGACCACACCACACCACGCUAAGGAAUAUCGAAGCGAUUGGCAUUUUGGCACACACCACAUUUUGAGGACGUUUCAAAUUUUAUUUUCUAGUUUUAUUAGUUUCUAGUUUAUUAGUUUUCUAGUUAUAUUAUUUGUUAAAACUACUAUUGUGCUCAUAAUUAAUGCGAACAAAGUGUAAUAAGUUAAAGGCAACACACACAACAUGGAGGAGAAUAUAACCUUAACCUGAACAUUUUGUAUGUGUAUUUUGCAAAUAUGUAGUACGAGUUUUUUAUAGUCAAUUGUGUGUAUCGUGUAUCUGGAGUGAAUCGGGAUGGCCAGUAGAAAUUCCAGUCUGUUGACUCCAGGACAGGACUUGGAUUUUGAUUUGGAAAUGGAAAUUGUUUUCAGAUAGGAACUUGUAAUUGUAUUUUUUUCUUUA